GAUGAACGCUGGCGGCGUGCUUAACACAUGCAAGUCGAACGGUGAUCUUGAGAGCUUGCUCUUGGGUGAUCAGUGGCGAACGGGUGAGUAACACGUGAGUAACCUGCCCCUGACUCUGGAAUAACUUCGGGAAACCGAAGCUAAUACCGGAUAUGACACAGAGCCGCAUGGUUUCUGUGUGGAAAGUUUUUCGGUUGGGGAUGGACUCGCGGCCUAUCAGCUUGUUGGUGAGGUAAUGGCUCACCAAGGCGACGACGGGUAGCCGGCCUGAGAGGGCGACCGGCCACACUGGGACUGAGACACGGCCCAGACUCCUACGGGAGGCAGCAGUGGGGAAUAUUGCACAAUGGGCGAAAGCCUGAUGCAGCGACGCCGCGUGAGGGAUGAAGGCCUUCGGGUUGUAAACCUCUUUCAGUAGGGAAGAAGCGCAAGUGACGGUACCUACAGAAGAAGCACCGGCUAACUACGUGCCAGCAGCCGCCUAACAC
rnacentral:rRNA from 1 species